rnacentral:rRNA from 1 species
GACGAACGCUGGCGGCGUGCUUAACACAUGCAAGUCGAGCGGAAAGGCCCUUCGGGGUACUCGAGCGGCGAACGGGUGAGUAACACGUGAGUAACCUGCCCUAGGCUUUGGGAUAACCCCGGGAAACCGGGGCUAAUACCGGAUAUGACCUGGUGCCGCAUGGUGUUGGGUGGAAAGUUUUUUCGGCCUGGGAUGGGCUCGCGGCCUAUCAGCUUGUUGGUGGGGUGAUGGCCUACCAAGGCGAUGACGGGUAGCCGGCCUGAGAGGGCGACCGGCCACACUGGGACUGAGACACGGCCCAGACUCCUAUGGGAGGCAGCAGUGGGGAAUAUUGCACAAUGGGCGGAAGCCUGAUGCAGCGACGCCGUGUGAGGGAUGAAGGCCUUCGGGUUGUAAACCUCUUUCAGCAGGGACGAAGCGUGAGUGACGGUACCUGCAGAAGAAGCGCCGGCCAACUACGUG